CCCAGACUCCUACGGGAGGCAGCAGUGGGGAAUCUUCCGCAAUGGGCGCAAGCCUGACGGAGCAAUGCCGCGUGAACGAAGAAGGUCUUCGGAUUGUAAAGUUCUGUCCUUAUCGAAGAGAGGGUAUAGAGUGAAAAAUGAUAUACUAGGACGGUAGAUGAGGAGGAAGCCCCGGCUAACUACGUGCCAGCAGCCGCGGUAAUACGUAGGGGGCAAGCGUUAUCCGGAUUUACUGGGUGUAAAGGGAGCGUAGACGGCAUGGCAAGUCAGAUGUGAAAGCCCGGGGCUCAACCCCGGGACUGCAUUUGAAACUGUCAGGCUGGAGUGCAGGAGAGGUAAGUGGAAUUCCUAGUGUAGCGGUGAAAUGCGUAGAUAUUAGGAGGAACACCAGUGGCGAAGGCGGCUUACUGGACUGUAACUGACGUUGAGGCUCGAAAGCGUGGGGAGCAAACAGGAUUAGAUACCCUGGUA
rnacentral:rRNA from 1 species